AACAUCGCGCACCUGCGGGAACCUGCGGAGGGAUCAUUACAGAGUUCAUGCCCUCACGGGUAGAUCUCCCACCCUUGAAUACUAUACCUUUGUUGCUUUGGCGGGCCGCUUUGGCUACUGGCUCUGGCUAGUAAGUGCCCGCCAAAGAACCCCAAAACUCUGAAUAUUAGUGUCGUCUGAGUACUAUAUAAUAGUUAAAACUUUCAGCAACGGAUCU
rnacentral:misc_RNA from 1 species